CUGGUUCUACUCUCUCUCCCCCAUGGCUUCUUCUGCAAUUUCGUCAUCGUUGAUUUAGGCGUUCUUCAUCGGCCCUUCCUUCUUCUCCUUUUGUUUUUUGUUUUCCGCUUCUAGAUUGAUUGAUUGAUUGAUUGAUUGAUUUUGUUGAUGGUGUCCUCAUUUUGCUUUCUUCUUUCUUGUCUGAUUUUGUGAAGCAUCAUCUGGUUGCGGAGAUCCUUGAGGGUUUCGCUUGGCCUACGAUUCCUACUGGUUAUCGGAAUUCUUUGGUUUAC
rnacentral:lncRNA from 1 species